UUCACCGAUUGUUUUGACCUCGUUAAUCUAGGGAGGAUAACACAAGACGGUGUUUACAACAUAACAACAUGGAAAAGUCUUCGAGAAAUCCAGGUGUAUUGCGACGUUGCGACUGAUGGAGGUGGAUGGACAGUUUUCCAAAAUCGGUUUGAUGGAUCCGUUGACUUUUACAGGAACUUUUACCGAAUAUGAAAUUGGGUUCGGAGAUAUAAAUGGAGAAUUUUGGUUAGGGCUUGAAAAUCUCCAUGAACUGGUUUCUCAAGGCAGAUCUGAACUUAGAAUCGAAGGUGUCGGCCGCUAAUGGAACAAAAGGCUACCAGACUUUUCAAGAUUUCGAAAUAUCACCAGGUUCAAAUUACAGUCUUCAUAUUUCUGCCGGAGACGGAAGUAUAGGAGACAUAAAUGAGUACUCGAAUGGAAUAUUUCUCAACAAUAAUGCAGCAUUUAGUACCUUCGAUCAUGACGUGGAUACAAAUCCCAACGUUACUUUGAACUGCGCAUAUGACAGGAAAGGCGGAUGGUGGUAUGCAGCUUGCACGUUUGUUAAUCUGAAUGGAAGGUACUGUACACCAGGUACAAGAAUUUGCGAAUUGAGUGGUAUGUUAUACGAGACGUUUAUGAGACUUGGAUCCCUACUUACAUCUCGAAUGAUGUUUAGAAGAGUAUGAACAGUUACUUUAACAGCUAACAACUUGUAUUAAACAUAUAUAGGUAAUAACAUUACACCAACACAGUUGUUACAUAUAAAUAUUGUGAAAUAGAUUUAAGAAAUGAUCAAAAAAUCAAGACAAGAUUUCUAAUAACUCUAUCAUCAUGCGCACAUGCUGUGUAAAAUACUUUUUAUGCGGAUCUUACACUUAAUCAAGCUCUAGUAAGUCUUUUUACACAAUUUUCAACAAAUAAAGAAAAGAUUUCUAAAAACUGUAUUUUCACGCGCACAUGCUUUGUGAAAUAUUUUUACGUGGUGUUUACGUUGAUUUAAUGCAGAUUCAAGCUCCUGUAAGUCGUUUUAAACAAUUUUCUAUGAAACAAUCUCACCUACCGUACAACUGAGCAUUGGAAAUUUUGGUGAGGGAGUUGAGUUUAUUUGAAAAAGAAAACAUUAGAGUUAUCUCAAGAGACACUUUAUAUCUGGAAUCUUGCAAAAAUAGUAAUUUGCUUAUGCUCUAAUUCUUCUUUCAUUUCAGAUGUAACAUGAAAUAACUCGUUGUGUUUAAGCAUGGCAUCCUUUCACUGCUUCGAGUGUCCUUAAAAUGCUGUCUUUAUUGUAAAAAUUAUGAAUCCCUAAUGGUAUAUGUUUUGAAAUUGAGGCAACUUUUCAUCUAUAGCUACUAUUUCAUUUUCUACCUGCGUUUUAAAGAGAGUAAAAUCCAGAUGCAACAUAAAGUUAUCCUUCAGAAAGGAAAUAACUCGUUGUAUUAAAGCAUGACAUCCUUUGACUGCUUUGAGUGUCCUAAAAAUGAUGUCUUAUUGUAAAAAGUAUGAAUCCUAAAUUGUGCAUGUUUAAAAUUGAGGCAAAUUUUCAUCUAUACCUACUAGUUUAUUUUCUACCUACAUUUUAUAGAGAGUAAAAUCCAGGUAUGUGCUGCAUCGCUAUAUAUACUUAAAUUGUUGAAUGUAUAUUUUGUAGAGUUUGUAGAUUUAGUAGCAUUUGUAUAUAUAUAUUUAAAUGGUAAAAUGUAUAUUUUGUAUACUUUGUGGAUUUAGUAACAUUGGUAUAUAUAUUUAAAUUGUUAAAUGUAUAUUUUGUAGGGUUUGUACAUUUAUAAAGCAAAAUGUUAUUUUCACAUAUUUUUAUUAUUAUCAUUAUUACCAUAAUUAGUACUAUUACUACUACUACUAAUAUAAAAUAUUGUUUCAUUUUAUUAGAAUUGUAUGUGUUUUAUACGAGUACAUGCCGACAAUUUCUAAAAUGCGUUUAACCAUUAUUCUGCUGGCGGCAAGUGAUUCUGCCUUUGCGAACAGUGCAGACCAAGACUAGCCUGCACAACCGUGCAGUCUGAUCAUGGUCUGCAUUGUUCGUUAUUCAGUCAGUAA
rnacentral:lncRNA from 1 species